rnacentral:rRNA from 1 species
CAGUAGCCGCGGUAAUACCAGCGGCCCAAGUGGUGGUCGCGUUUAUUGGGCCUAAAGCGCUCGUAGCCUGGCCGGUAAGUUCCCCGUGAAAUCGGGUCGCCCAACGAUUCGGCUCGCGGGGAAUACUGUCGGUCUUGGGGCCGGGAGACGCCGAGGGUACUCCGGGGGUAGCGGUGAAAUGCUGUAAUCCUCGGGGGACUACCAGUGGCGAAGGCGCUCUGCGAUAACGGGCCUGACGGUGAGGGGCGAAAGCUGGGGGCGCGAACGGGAUUAGAUACCCCGGUAGUCCCUGUCUCUUAUA